rnacentral:rRNA from 1 species
UAGGGAAUCUUCCACAAUGGACGCAAGUCUGAUGGAGCAACGCCGCGUGAGUGAAGAAGGUCUUCGGAUCGUAAAGCUCUGUUGUUGGUGAAGAAGGAUAGAGGCAGUAACUGGUCUUUAUUUGACGGUAAUCAACCAGAAAGUCACGGCUAACUACGUGCCAGCAGCCGCGGUAAUACGUAGGUGGCAAGCGUUGUCCGGAUUUAUUGGGCGUAAAGCGAGCGCAGGCGGAAUGAUAAGUCUGAUGUGAAAGCCCACGGCUCAACCGUGGAACUGCAUCGGAAACUGUCAUUCUUGAGUGCAGAAGAGGAGAGUGGAACUCCAUGUGUAGCGGUGGAAUGCGUAGAUAUAUGGAAGACACCAGUGGCGAAGGCGGCUCUCUGGUCUGCAACUGACGCUGAGGCUCGAAAGCAUGGGUAGCGAACAGGAUUAGAUACCCUGGUAGUCCAUGCCGUAAACGAUGAGCGCUAGGUGUUGGGGACUUUCCGGUCCUCAGUGCCGCAGCAAAUCGCAUUAAGCGCUCCGCCUGGGGAGUACGACCGCAAGGUUGAAAC